rnacentral:lncRNA from 1 species
CUUGGGCAUUAAGAUUUAAAAAGAUACUUUAAUGAAUCAAGUCGCACUUCUACAAGGACAAAAAGGAAUGGUCCCAAUCUUUUAUACUUAUGGGUUCUAUAAUUUAGUCCCAUACCACCAACCACAAACAUAGGUAGGAAAAGUAAUCCAUGCACCCACUUUUUGACACCCCAUAAUCUCGUGCUUUCUCAACUAACAACAUGUAGGGACCAUCUACGGUGG